rnacentral:misc_RNA from 1 species
GUGAAUCAUCGAAUUUUUGAACGCAAAUUGCACUCUCUGGUAUUCCGGAGAGUAUGCCUGUUUGAGGGUCAGUUUAAAUAAAAAUCGGUGUGGUUGCUGUCUUUCGUGGUGACGCACCGGAUUUGGGUCGACUUGUCUUCGGGUAAGUGUCCUAUAAUUUUGCAUGAUUUUUCUCGAAAGUAUUACAAUGAUUUUAUGUACU